rnacentral:misc_RNA from 1 species
GAUGAAGAACGUAGCGAAAUGCGAUAAGUAAUGCGAAUUGCAGAAUUCCGUGAGUCAUCGAAUCUUUGAACGCACAUUGCGCCCUUUGGUAUUCCGAAGGGCAUGCCUGUCCGAGCGUCAUUAUCCUCUCUCAAGCCCGGCUUGCGGUUGGGUCCCGCCGUGGUCGCCCGCGGCGGACCCGAAACGUAAUGGCGGUGCCCGUGGGCCCUGGAUGCAACGAGCUUCUCAGCACGCAUCCGCGCGGUCCCCGGCGCCGUCCCGACCAACCAUCUCGCAGAUUGACCUCGGAUCAGGUAGGGAUACCCGCUGAACUUAAGCAUAUCAAUAAGCCGGAGGA